rnacentral:lncRNA from 1 species
AUUUUUUUAAUAUAUUAAUGAUUAUCAAAAAGAAAAAAAUCAACUAACAUGUUUUUUAAGACUAAAAGGUUAUGUUUGAUAUUAAUGGCCGUCAUUAAAAAAAGAAAAAUAUCAUGGGCAGGAAAAGAAAUAAUAAAAAAAAAAAGCUAGUAAAAGUCUUUUCAUUUCUUUUUCACUUUUUUCUCUCUACUCUCUCAAUAACUAUCUAUUUCUCUUUGCGAAAUUUUGAAAAACAACGAAAAAAGGAAAGGCCUGGAUGAAUCGGGAAGCUUAGAGGGGAAGUGGACAGGAAAGAAAGAUGGGAGGGAAGGUAGAAAGAUUGGAAAGGAAGGGAAUGGGAAGAGGGUUUUUUGUGGCCCUGGAGUUUCCAGAUUUGUCGACGACUUCACAAAACUGUUUUUUUUUUUUUUUGUUUAAUUUUAAUUACAAAGUUUUUAAACUUUUUCUAUUAAAAUUUGAAACAUUUUUAAAAUAUUUAUGCUCAAAUCUAUUUUAGCUUUUACAGAUCAUAAGACACCGCAUCUAAAUUUUUUAGAAAAAUGAUUUGGCAAAAAAAUUAAAAAACAAUUAUUGUAAUUGCCGUUAGAUUUAGGUUGUUUAGGACCAUUUUUUUUGCAUAUUAAAAUUUUAUAUAUCUUUUCUCCUUUUUUUUUAUAUAUGUAUUUGGUGUUUAACAUCCUCAAUUUGUUUCAUUUCUUUUUUAUUUUUUCAGGUAUUAAGACGAUUUUGAGAUAAAUUAUUUUUUUUGGAGAAAUAAGAUCUAUGUAUUUGAAGUUUUAAAUUUCAAAGGUUUUGUUAUCUUUUUUUUUUUGUUGGGUAAUAUUUUGAAAAAAUAAGCACCACAGAAGAUUAGAUCUUUUUUUUUUAUGUUUAAAAAUGUCAGUUAUACCUGUAUUAAAAAAAAUAACGACGUUUUAAAAAAAAAUCGUUAAAUUUAAUGAUGUUUGAGUUAAAAACACUACUAAAUUUUGUAGUAAGAAACAUCACUAAAUUUUGAAUUUAAUGACGUUUGAACAAAAAAAAAAAAGCGCUUCUAAAUUUAAUGAAGCUUGUGUCACAAAAUAUCGUUAAAUGUUAAAUUUAGUAGUGCUUGAGUCA